CGGCGGCGGGUCGCUCUCGCUGAGGAGGCUGCGAUGGCUGCGGGGUCUCGGCGGCCUCUGAAGGCUGGGGCUCAGGCUUAGAAUUCGCCUUUCGGUUUUGUGAACAGGUUGGUGAAAGCGAAGAGAGUCACAGCACUUCCACCGGAAAUGCAGCUGUCUUGGCGGUUGCCGGCACAGUCAUUCCCUCACAAUACUUUGAGGGAGAUCAACGUACUCGCCCGGGAUCGCUCCGUCACUUCCUGGGCCCAAAAGGAAGAAAAUGAGGAAAAUGAAAAUUAAAUGUACAGUUAGUGUGAACGUACUGAUAUCAGUGCGUGGUGUCGGUGCAGCGGCUCAGUAAUUUACCUGCUGGUUCUUACUUCGGGAUUCUGGGAGCAAAACCAGGUUAGUCAUAACUUUCCUUCCAAGGAGUGAGCGUCUUUUAAUUUCAUGGCUGCACUCACCAUCUGCAGUGAUUUUGGAGCCCAGAAAAAUAAAGUCAGCCACUGUUUCCACUGUUUCCCCAUUUAUUUGCCAUGAAGUGAUGGGACCGGAUGCCAUGAUCUUAGUUUUCUGAAUGGUUUCUCUUCACAAAGCAAUGCUGUUGAUGCACAGUUUUUAAAAACCCAAAAUGAACUAUACUGAAUAUUUUUUGUUUGCCCUCCACGGUUUCUUACUCUGUGACGUCUGUUUUACUCAAAGAGGAGUAGAUGACAACACUCUCAAGAGCAGGAUUUGCGUUGGUGCAUCUGGUCCACUUCAAAAGGGAGAAGAUGUGAGUCGGCUCUCUGCUGACUCAAAGGCAGCAGCCAACAGAUUGGGCAGCUGGUCAAAGGGGGAGUAGCCAGCUGCCUAUCACCAUGCAGCCCUGUGGAGAGAGACCUUGUGGGGAGGAACUCUGGCCCAGACGUGAGUUCAGAGGUGAAGUCUGCUCCAGGAUGACCUCUAGAGACUGCAGUGCCAUGAACUUUGACCUCAGCUCCAGGGGAGAUCUUGAGCCAGAGCCACCAGCUCAGUCACUAGACUCCUGACCCACCGGACCUGGCAGGCAAUAAACGCCUGCUGUUUUAAGACACUGUCUGCUAUAAUGGGUCUAAUUCGUUACACAGCAGUAGAGAAUUAGGUGUCUCACACAGCACUGACUCCAGUGGGAAGACAUGCUUCGCAGAAAUGAACUCCUGUCCGUGGAAUUCACUGAGCUACCAGCAGCUGCCCGCGGGGGCUGAAUUACGGUGUCAGACGCAGACAGCAGCUGGCAAGGUCAGGCAUGUCCUGUGACAGAGCUUGUGCCUUUUAUAAACCAGCAGUGGCCCCUCCCGUGACCAGAGUGUAAGUUCUGGGAGUGAGGGGCAGUGGUGAGAAUGGCCCUCACUGUCACGGGGGACAGCCCAUCCAUGAGGUUUUCUGCACUUAAGACUCCUUGGGGAAAAACAGCAGGUGGCUGCUUCAAGCAUAAUUAUUAAUGUUUGAAUAUAUAUUAAUCAGCCACUUCAAUUUAGUUCAGUUGCUCAGUCAUGUCCGACUCUUUGCGACCCCAUGGGCUACAGCACACCAGGCCUCCCUGUCCAUCACCAACUCCCGGAGUUUACUGAAACUCAUGUCCAUUGAGUCAGUGAUGCCAUCCAACCAUCUCAUCCUCUGUCGUCCCCUUCUCCUCCUGCCUUCAAUCUUUUCCAGCAUCAGGGUCUUUUCAAAUGAGUCAAUUCUUCGCAUCAGGUGGCCAAAGUAUUGGGAGUUUCAGCUUCAGCAUCAGUCCUUCCAAUGAAUAUUCAGGACUGGUUUCCUUUAGGAUGGACUGGUUGGAUUAAAAACCAUUAAAUAUUAAUGAUUUAUACAUUUAACAUAUAAAAUAUUUGAAAUUAUAUCUAGCUUAUGAAAGUGAAUAAAAUUUUAAUACCUGUGCUCCAAGA